UACGUAGGGUGCGAGCGUUGUCCGGAAUUAUUGGGCGUAAAGGGCUCGUAGGCGGUUUGUCGCGUCUGCCGUGAAAGUCCGGGGCUCAACUCCGGAUCUGCGGUGGGUACGGGUAGACUAGAGUGAUGUAGGGGAGACUGGAAUUCCUGGUGUAGCGGUGAAAUGCGCAGAUAUCAGGAGGAACACCGAUGGCGAAGGCAGGUCUCUGGGCAUUAACUGACGCUGAGGAGCGAAAGCAUGGGGAGCGAACAGG
rnacentral:rRNA from 1 species